UACGGGGGGGGCAAGCGUUGUUCGGAAUUACUGGGCGUAAAGGGCUCGUAGGCGGCCAACUAAGUCAGACGUGAAAUCCCUCGGCUUAACCGGGGAACUGCGUCUGAUACUGGAUGGCUCGAGUUUGGGAGAGGGAUGCGGAAUUCCAGGUGUAGCGGUGAAAUGCGUAGAGAUCCGGAAGAACACCGGAGGCGAAGGCGGCUUGCUGGGCGUGAUCUGACGCUGAGGCGCGAAAGCGUGGGGAGCGAACGAGG
rnacentral:rRNA from 1 species